GGCGAAUCAGUAACUACAUCUCCCAGCCUGCCCCGAGGGCGCUUCCGCCCUCUGCAGCUCAGACCUAUUUCUUCCCCAAUUAUCAAGGAUAGAUUUAAAAUAUCCCGGGUGCGGUGCUGUAGUAACCAUGGUGAGCCCAGGAUAUCCGAGGCUGCCCCCGUGAUUUAUAUACAAACAUUCCGUGUUAUUCUCCAUCCCAUUCCUUGUGAAUCUGAACACGUUCGCUUUUCUGCUGGCAGCUGUGCAAAUGAAGCCUGCAGCCCCAGAGUUCUCUGUUCCCGG